GUAGUUUUCCAGUCAGUAGCUCUAAUCACAUCAGCAAUUAUCCUCCUCAGUAGCCGUCUGUGUAGACAGCACAUUGAAAGAAGGUUCUAGAAACCCAGUGUAUAUAAGACAUCCAAACAGGAGCAUGCGAAGCCGGGUAAGGAUGGCUAGUGUUGGAUGAGAGCCUCAGGGAGGUCACUGUGAGUGGCCGCUACUACAGAUGCCCUGGCCCUCAGAGGAUACUGGACCUUAAAGGGGUUCUUGGUUUAAAAAAAAAGUGUCCAUGUGUAUAAAUGUAUGGUACUCCAUACAGAAGAAUCCUGAGAAAUUGUGUAAUGAAAUUUCACUUUCAUGAUAAAGCUAGCUAAGGAAACUGCACAAGGAAAGCCCUGUAGAGCAGCGGAGUGUGGACUAUGCUCAGGUGGAAGCUGCCUUAUUAGAACGUCUUACUACAGGGGGAUGCUGAAGAUGGACUCCUUGUGCCUUGCAAGACGCUGCUCUUUUUAACAUUGUAAAAUAACACCUGCUCAUUAUGGAAACUUUUUGGCUCCUCUUUUUUUUUUUUUUUUUGCAGUUUUCCUGUUUUUCGCUGGGUUUGCCAGAACCUCAAACAAGCGCCCAGCCUUCUUGUGUAUUUUUCCCCAAGAUAUUAGUAUUCAGAUGA
rnacentral:lncRNA from 1 species